AUUGAACGCUGGCGGCAUGCCUUACACAUGCAAGUCGAACGGCAGCACGGGAGCAAUCCUGGUGGCGAGUGGCGAACGGGUGAGUAAAGUAUCGGAACGUGCCCAGUCGUGGGGGAUAACGUAGCGAAAGUUACGCUAAUACCGCAUACGAUCUAUGGAUGAAAGCGGGGGAUCGCAAGACCUCGCGCGGUUGGAGCGGCCGAUAUCAGAUUAGGUAGUUGGUGGGGUAAAGGCUCACCAAGCCGACGAUCUGUAGCUGGUCUGAGAGGACGACCAGCCACACUGGGACUGAGACACGGCCCAGACUCCUACGGGAGGCAGCAGUGGGGAAUUUUGGACAAUGGGCGAAAGCAUGAUCCAGCCAUGCCGCGUGCAGGAUGAAGGCCUUCGGGUUGUAAACUGCUUUUGUACGGAACGAAAAGGUUUGGCCUAAUAAGCUGAGCUCAUGACGGUACCGUAAGAAUAAGCACCGGCUAACUACGUGCCAGCCGCCGCGGUAA
rnacentral:rRNA from 1 species